GGGAGUAUAGCAUAAUGGUUAUGGAGCUGGACUUGCAACUCAGAGGCUGCAGGUUCAAAUCCUACUACCACUG